GGGCUCACUUCAUUAGCACAUAUACUAGAAUUGGAAUGAUACAGAGAGGAUUAGCAUGGUCCCUGCACAAGGAUGACAUGCAAAUUCGUGAAGUGUUCCAUAUUUUU